AUUUGGCGGACGGGUGAGUAUACGUGAGAAUCUACCUUUAGAAGGGAAUAACAAUUGGAAACGAUUGCUAAUGCCCUAUAUGCUUAGCAGUGAAACAGAUUUAUCUGCCUGAAGAUGAGCUCGCGCCUGAUUAGCUAGUUGGUAGAGUAAAAGCCUACCAAGGGCAACGAUCAGUAGCUGGUUUGAGAGGACGAUCAGCCACACUGGGACUGAGACACGGCCCAGACUUCUACGGAAGGCAGCAGUGGGGAAUUUUCCGCAAUGAGCGAAAGCUUGACGGAGCCAAUACCGCGUGAGGGAAGAAUGCCUGUGGGUUGUAAACCUCUUUUUUUAGGGAAGAACAAUAUGACGGUACCUAAAGAAUAAGCAUCGGCUAACUCCGUGCCAGCAGCCGCGGUAAAUACGGGGGAUGCAAGCGUUAUCCGGAAUUACUGGGCGUAAAGCGUCUGCAGGUGGCUUAAAAAGUCUGCUGUUCAAAUAUUAGAGCUCAACUCUGAGUAAGCAGUGGAAACUGUUAGGCUAGAGUAUGGUAUGGGUAAACGGGAACUCC
rnacentral:rRNA from 1 species